ensembl:misc_RNA Metazoa_SRP Metazoan signal recognition particle RNA
GCCGGGCAUGGUGGUGUGUACCUGUAAUCCCAGCUAUUUGGGAGGCUGAGGCAGGGGACUUGCUUGAGCCCAGGAGUUUGAGGUUGCAGUGAGCUAUGAUGGCACCACUGCAUUCCAGUCUGGGCAACACAGAGAGACUCUGUCUCAG